GGCCCGAGAACCGACGGAUUUUGGGAUGUAUAUAUAAAAGCGAAGAAGUGGCAGUUGAUAAAGUGGUAUUAGGGUUUGGUGGAGGCGUCACAGCAAGAGGAAGAAGUGCGAGAGAAUGAAGACAUCCCGGCGACGAUCUUCGGCGACGAUGGACAUCCCGGAACGGGUGAAGAUAAAGGUGAACGCCCUGAGCCAUGUGGCGAACCUCAUCACCGGCGUCACCAAGGGCUAGCGCUACAAGAUGCGCUUCGUCUACGCCCCACUUCCCCAUCAACGCCUCCAUCACCAACUCCAACCGUUCCAUUGAGUUUCGUAACUUUCUCGGCGAGAAGAGGGUCAGGAAACUGGAUGUGCUCGACGGUGUGUCAAUUCUGAGAUCUGAGAAGGUCAAGGAUGAACUCGUUUUGGAUGGCAAUCUGCGAUCUGAUAGCUUUUGGAAAAGGUAUCAGAAACUUCGGGUCGACGCCCGCCACCCGGUAUCAAGCAUGGUACAUGUUAGUUAAAUGGGCUGUAGUUUUGGAGAUGGAGCAUGUUGGGCAUUUGAUGUGAAAAAUGAAACAAAAAAAGCUCAUCACCCCCAACGUAUUAAUUUCACGGGUCGUUGAGUGCCAAUCCAUUUGCAAUCUUCCUACUAUAAAUACAUACACACCAACCAGCGCCCCAUCCCUCUGGCUGGCGGAGCUGGAGAUGAGGGAGGGGGAGAUGACGACUAGAUGCAAUCGACCACGCCGGAGGUCAACCACCCCCAUCCGCUGGACAGACCUUCUGGUUCGACAGCCCUUCUGUCGAGUUCAAGGGGUAGCUCUGUUAGGCAGAUCUAUGCCUUCGUUGCCGGGGAAGACUUCUGGAGUUUCUCAUUUUGGGUGCAAGUGAAGCCAUGGUAUUUAAGAAGUUCUCAGUCAAACACUCCUCGAAACGACUAGAAGCCACUUGUGGUAUGCGAUCAUAAGGGCCAAUUCUAUGACCAGUGUGUCUGAUGAUGGAAAGAAGCUAGAUUUGGAGUACGUAAAAGAAAAAUCCUCUAUGCCAAGGUCUCGCAAGCGUGAGGCUCCGAAGUUGAUGGAGUACCAAAGGGUGAAGAGGCAAAGGAUUGAUCAUAGUUUGUCUUCGCAGUCACUCCACCAUUUUGAAACUACCGACGACUUAUCCAGCUAGUUGGGUUUACAACCAACUUAUGUUAGUAUCCCAAAUGAACAAUUCAGAUCCAGAUUAUGAUGGGGCUGCAAGUAGUUUGGACAAUGAAAACUCAUGCCUUAGUUUGUGCACCUCUCUGCAUAGAGGAGCACAACAUUAGAUACAAGUUUAACUCAAUGUAAAAAAUUAUAUUUGAUAUGCUAAAAAUGUGAACAAAUAUUAGAUAGAAGAAGUAACCUUUCGAACUGUAGCUCGAAAGGCUUCUCUUUCUAUUUCUCGUCGUUGCUUCAAUUUAGCUUUUACCUCAUCAACUUCAGCCUCUUUCAUUUGGGCUUUAAUCUUAGUUAUUUCUACAUGUAAACAUUCAAUUCUGUCAAUGAAAUAGAACUGGUAGAUAGAUGUCAACAAUAUUGACAGGAUUGAAUGUUUACAUGUAGAGAUGACUAAGAUUAAAGCUCAAAUGAAAGAGGUUGAAGUUGAUGAGGUAAAAGCUAAAUUGAAGCAACGACGAGGAACAGAAAGAGAAGCCUUUCGAGCUACAGUUUGAAAUGUUACCUUCUUCUAUCUAAUAUUUGUUCACAUUUUUAGCAUAUCAAAUAUAAUUUUUUACAUUGGGUUGAACUUGUAUUUGAUAUUGUGCAGCUCUCUGCAGAUGACAAAAACAGUUGAUUUUGAAGACAAUAUGUGGGCUCAAAAAGAAUUCGACAUGUUAACGGGGUCUUCUUGUUCUUAUUAUUGGUCUCAUACUGCACAUUAAACAUACAUUCUAGUGAUGAUUGUAAGAUGUUAGAUGAAAUUUUGUUCUCAAAUGUAAAAUUUAUUUGCAAAUAGUACUAUUGUUGUAAA